rnacentral:rRNA from 1 species
GACGAACGCUGGCGGCGUGCCUAAUACAUGCAAGUAGAACGCUGAAGGAGGAGCUUGCUUCUCUGGAUGAGUUGCGAACGGGUGAGUAACGCGUAGGUAACCUGCCUGGUAGCGGGGGAUAACUAUUGGAAACGAUAGCUAAUACCGCAUAAGAGUAGAUGUUGCAUGACAUUUGCUUAAAAGGUGCAAUUGCAUCACUACCAGAUGGACCUGCGUUGUAUUAGCUAGUUGGUGGGGUAACGGCUCACCAAGGCGACGAUACAUAGCCGACCUGAGAGGGUGAACGGCCCAACGGGACUUGAGACCCGGCCCAGACCCCACGGGGGGGCGGAGGGGGGAAAUUUUCGGAAAGGGACGGAGGUUGACCCGGGAAACGCGGGGGGGGGAAAAAGGGUUUUGGGUUCUUAAAGCUUUUUUGUAAGAGAAAAAAGGGUGGGAAGGGGAAAAGUUCACCUUGAGGCGGUAUUUUCCCAAAAAGGGGGGGCAAACUACG